GAAACUAUACAUAGGCAGCCGGACAGCUUAUUUAAAGCCAGAAGCCAAAAGGAUCCACGAGAAUUACAGUUCAAGUAACAUCACAGACCUCAAAGAUAAAGAAUACUACAAUCAUGCCAAGUGCUGAGAGACAAAAACACCGCCAAUAGUUGCUUCACCAACUGCCACCACGACGCGCAGCGCUGACCACGUGUCUAGCAUGACUGCUGGUCUUGGUUCCAUCGACCAGUUCAUGGUAUGCGUCAUGUUCCUCUCCCCACUGUACUGAAGUGAGAACACCUUGGGCUCCAUCUUCGCGGUGGCUCACACUAUAGCUUGGCAGCGGAGCGGCUUCUGCUGCAGCUCGGAGGUGCUCCGACUCCAUCUGCAUCUCAGUUCCUGCUGCAGCUCGGAGGUGCUCCGGCUCCAUCUGCAUCUCAGCGACCCGGCAGCUCGGAGGAGCUGCGCCUCCAUCUGCAUCUCAGGCGGCCCAGCAGCUCCGGCUGCAGCUCGGAGCUGUGGAAUUGGCAGAUGGCGCCGCCCUUGCUUGUAUCCGCGACCCACUAUGAGUGGAAGGAGAAUCUCAUUUCAUUCUCGUAGCUGCUUGGAGUGACUACUGGCCUUUCAACACGAUGAUCAACAAAGCAUGUGUUGGUCAGGGUUGAUUAAAAUCAAGCUUCCUUGCAGGUCCAGGCUCAAUCAGUUGAGAAUUCCUAGAAGGUCUGGACUCAACCAAAUGAAGCUCCCCUGCAGGCCCAGGCUGAACCAAAUCAGCCUUCCUAGGAGUACUGGACUCAAUCAAAUCAAGUUUCUUUGUAGGUGCAGGCUCGACCAAAUCAGGCUUCUGUAAUGGUCGUUGUUCGAUUUUUUCAAGAGGUCCAGACACAAUCAAAUCAGGCUUUGCUGCAGAUGACUCGAUCAAAUCAUACUUCAGUAUGCUCACAGUAAUCACAUAAAGUAAGCUACCAAUUGAGGUGGAUUCACCAUCCGGCAGGCUUUCGCCAUUGCUUCUGCUGCACUCAUCAUCAUGCUGG
rnacentral:lncRNA from 1 species